rnacentral:tRNA from 1 species
UCUAAUAUGGCAGAUUAGUGCAGUGAAUUUAAGCUUCAUAAAUAAAGGUAUUAACCUUUUAUUAGAA